rnacentral:lncRNA from 1 species
UCUUUCUAUUGUAUUUUGCAGAUUGGAAUGGAGCACAUGGAGGAAAAAAGGGAAUCACACACCUCAAUGACUGGGAAUUGCUGGUUAGGAAUUUAUUUUAAAAAAUCUUCAAAGAUGAAGCGAUGGUGGUUGGUAUAGAUAGUUAGACAGGCCUUGUCUGUGUCAGGUUUUUCUUUUUCAGGUAAUGGAGAGAGAGCAGGCAGAAGCGGGAGACUCACAAGAGCAACGAUGGACAUUUAUAUGAAACAGAGCCAUUAGGGCUCUGUUGGUUCUGUCUUUGUCUUUUGCAGGCUGGAGUGGAGCAGAAUAAGGAGACUCACAAGGGAAACGGUGGAGAUAUACUUGAAGACCUAGAGCUCAGUAAACAGAUUGGCAUGGAGCAUGUGGAGAAACGGGGAACACACCUCAGUAAUGACAAAGUGGAGUGGAGAAACUAGGGAAUCACACACCUCAGAAAUGAUCAGAAACUGAUGGUCAGGUGUCACCUAUCGAUUAAAGAUGUCCUUCCAAUAGGAAGGGGGUGGAGGUGGGCUUGGGUAGUUAGAUAAAUGUUUUGUCUGUGGAAUCACACCUCAGCAAUGACUGGAAAUUGAUGGUCAGGAAUUUAUUUUAAAAAAUCUUCAAAGAUGAAGCGGUGGUGGUUGGUAUAGAUAGUUAGACAGGCCUUGUCUGUGUCAGGUUUUUCUUUUUCAGGUAAUGGAGAGAGAGCAGGCAGAAGCGGGAGACUCACAAGAGCAUCGAUGGACAUUUAUCUGAAACAGAGCCAUUAGGGCUCUGUUGGUUCUGUCUUUGACUUUUGCAGGUUGGAGUGGAGUAGAAUAAGGAGACUCACAAGGGAAACGGUGGAGAUAU